UACAGAGGUCUCAAGCGUUGUUCGGAUUCAUUGGGCGUAAAGGGUGCGUAGGUGGCAGGGUAAGUCGGAUGUGAAAUCCCGGGGCUCAACCUCGGAACUGCAUUCGAUACUGCUUUGCUGGAGUACUGGAGAGGAGAUUGGAAUUUACGGUGUAGCAGUGAAAUGCGUAGAUAUCGUAAGGAAGACCAGUGGCGAAGGCGGAUCUCUGGACAGUUACUGACACUGGGGUGCGAAAGCGUGGGGAGCAAACAGG
rnacentral:rRNA from 1 species